UCACAUUCACAAGCCCAGCGGAGGAAAAAAUUCAAGGUCAUCAUUGACUUCACAACAAAUUUGAGGCCAGCCUGGGCGACAUGAGUGAGACUGGAACUCAACCCCCAGUGAAAGAACAGUUGAAAGUGUUGCGACUGAACCAAGAAAUAAAAUAAACAAAAAAAAGAGUUAAACGAGGUUAGCCGCAUAGCUCAGUCCGUCGAGUGCUUGCCCAGCAGGCACAAAGCCCUGGGUUUGAUCCUCAGCCCUGCAUAAGAUGAGCAUGGUGCAACAGGCCUGUGAUCGCAGCAUAAGGGAGGACCUCAUCUACAGCUACAUGCUCCAAGGAACAGACAAAGUUGAUGCUCAGAGAGCUUAAGUGACUUGCUCAGGAUCACACAGCAGAUCAGCAGCAGACAGGGCUGAGACACGCACCGAGUCGGUGUCAGUGGCCUUGAGAACACCGUGCAGCAAGGAGGAGGCAGGAGGAUUGUCACAAGUUUGAUGGUUGCUUGCAUCACAUAAUAACUCUGAGGUCAUCCUGUGCUACGUGGUGAAAUCCUGUCUUAAGAAAGGGCACCCAGGUGGGUGGUGGUGGCACACGUCUUUGAUCCCAGCACU